rnacentral:tRNA from 1 species
UAAGGUGAAGCAAUAUGCAUUUCACUUACACUGAAAAGAGAGUCUAUUUAGACCAUCUUAA